UCACAUUCAAAUUUAAAACUUUAAAGAAACUCAAGCAUUGUUAUGAGCAAACCACAAGGUAAAGGAAAGUACGACAUCCAUUGACAUCGAUCAAGUGUGGUACAUGUGUCAUGAAAAAAGGAUACAAAAAGGAGACAUGAGCUAAGCAUUAUUACAUAAGCUUUCUACCCCGGAUAGUGCACCAAUAAAAGAAAAAAUAAAUAAAUGAGCAAAAAGAAAGAAAAAGCCUAGAGUGUCACUUCUUGCGAGGUCCCUUUGGAGUCUUCUGAGUCAUGUUCACCAGGGCCAUUCACGUUUACUUGCACAUAUUUGCACCGAGCAAAAAGAAAGGAAAAGAACAUUGCAAUGUACAUGCACGUAUUUACACCACCAUGGACGUCCACGUUUGCUUCCAUAGGUACGAGCAAAGGUGGGUAAUCGGUGCAGAGUUGAGCAGGUUGAGAAGACAAUUGCACAUUGCAAUGAGCUUCGACAUACACCCUCCAAGCUAUCCAACUUUCAUAUAUUCCAGGGACUUUUCCAACAAAAAGAACAUAAUAGAACCUUUUUCCAGCCAUUCCUAGAUAAAAAAGAAGAAGCAAUGUCAACAAAGAAUUGAAACAUGAUCAGAACAUUCUUAUAAAGAUACGGGAAAGAGGCAUUAUAGCCAGGGUCCUAUUCACUAUUUUAUGUCAUUUGUACCUGAUCUAAUAAGAAGUGUCUAUAAUAUGCUUCUUGGAAUUAUGACACUGGACUAAAGUUAUUUUGGUUGAAGUUUAUGAUGUUAUAAUUUUGUGGAAAUCAUAUGAUCUGGUAUAUGUUUGUUGUGAUGGAGGUGCAGCCAUGUUUGCUCCUAUGGUUAAGGUUAAUCCAUAUGAAUUAAGCAGGACUAAGGAAGACAUGUUUGGAACAUGGGAGAUGUGGGUGCGAAGGAGGAAACUGAUUUACAAUUUAGCAAAGAAAAUUUCCUACAUUACUCAGUUACUUCUACAAAGCAAAUACCCAUGAUUUGUUCUGUUUCUAUUUUCAAAAAGAGUUCAUUAGCAGUUCAUUCCGACAAAAGUCAAUGCUUAUUUGAUGAGACUGCAAAUUUUUGCAAUUUCGAACAGGUAAUCAGACACACUAACAAGUAGCAAAUAGGUAAACAGGAAAUCAGACACAAACUUUCACAAUUUCAAACCCUAAUUCAUUAGACCAGUGCACACAAAGUUUCUCAACUUCGAACACUAAUUUUCAUUAGACCAGUACACAUAAAGUUUCUUAACUUCGAACCCUAAUUUACCCAAUCAAACUGAACACAAAAAAUCUGCAAUAUUCCCAAUUUUUGAAACCCUAAUUUUUGGGGGUUUGAAGAUGGAGAAUCUAGGGAAAAUUGAAAAGUUCAAAGAGAGAAAGAAGAGGAGGAGAGACCUUAGCUGUGGAGUGCGUCCCAAUUUGAAUCUAGGACAAAUCCGCAGAUUUUCGUGAUUCUCGCGAGGUGUUGGGGGUGGUUGCCGGAAUUGGAGCCACUGACAUGGUGGUCGGAGGUGGUGAUGAGAGUCGUCGGCGAAGGUGGUGGUGAUGGGGAUCCUCGGCGUAGGUAGGUGGUGGACGUGGUGGUCGCAUUCUGAUUCUCUCUCUCGCUUUCUCUUGGAACCAGAAGAAC